GACGAACGCUGGCGGCGUGCUUAACACAUGCAAGUCGAACGGAAAGGCCCUGCUUUUGUGGGGUGCUCGAGUGGCGAACGGGUGAGUAACACGUGAGUAACCUGCCCUUGACUUUGGGAUAACUUCAGGAAACUGGGGCUAAUACCGGAUAGGAGCUCCUGCUGCAUGGUGGGGGUUGGAAAGUUUCGGCGGUUGGGGAUGGACUCGCGGCUUAUCAGCUUGUUGGUGGGGUAGUGGCUUACCAAGGCUUUGACGGGUAGCCGGCCUGAGAGGGUGACCGGCGACAUUGGGACUGAGAUACGGCCCAGACUACUACGGGAGGCAGCUGUGGGGAAUAUUGCACAAUGGGCGGAAGCCUGAUGCAGCAACGCCGCGUGCGGGAUGACGGCCUUCGGGUUGUAAACCGAUUUCGCCUGUGACGAAGCGUGAGUGACGGUAAUGGGUAAAGAAGCACCGGCUAACUACGUG
rnacentral:rRNA from 1 species